GAUGAACGCUGGCGGCGUGCCUAAUACAUGCAAGUCGAGCGAACGGACGAUAAGCUUGCUUCUCUGAUGUUAGCGGCGGACGGGUGAGUAACACGUGGAUAACCUACCUAUAAGACUGGGAUAACUUCGGGAAACCGGAGCUAAUACCGGAUGAUAUUUUGCACCGCAUGGUUCAAAAGUGAAAGACGGCCUUGCUGUCACUUAUAGAUGGAUCCGCGCUGCAUUAGCUAGUUGGUAAGGUCACGGCUUACCAAGGCAACGAUGCAUAGCCGACCUGAGAGAGUGAUCGGCCACACUGGAACUGAGACACGGUCCAGACUCCUACGAGAGGCAGCAGUAGGGAAUCUUCUGCAAUGGGGGAAAGCCUGACGGAGCAACGCCGAGUGAGUGAUGAAGGUCUUCGGAUCGUAAAACUCUGUUAUUAGGGAAGAACAUAUGUGUAAGUAACUGAGCACAUCUUGACGGUACCUAAUCAGAAAGCCACGGCUAACUACGUG
rnacentral:rRNA from 1 species